GGAAUAUAAACAAAACAAACAGCCUCGAGUGGAAAAACAAACAGCCUUAUUUACGAAAUGAUAGUCGUAUUUGACCUUCAGCGUACAUGUUGUGAAACAAUUCGUCAUCCGUUUUGGACAUUCCAGUAACUCCGCUUCUACUCUCAGUGAUUUGAAGGCAAAUCGGGUGGAAAUUUUGAUGAAUAUGUAAGACACUUGAAAAGCGCGAGAAUCAAGUUUCUUGGGAUAUGGGAUCUGAUCGAAAUUAUAAUCAAAUAAUUUACUUAUUUCAAGCAGAAAAUAGCCAAUAACUCUAAAAAAUGUAUCUCGUAAAUCGGCUGGAACUUGUUGAAGUCAAGAAUGUCAGAUCCAAUAAUGACGUCUCACGGACGGAGAUGUGUUUCGAAAACUCGAGUAGAUAUCCCUGAAGGGAAUGAGAGGCAUCAUGGCAUUUGAUAACUUCACUACAAAUAGAGCUAUUGGGUAGCCCUUGACGAUGGUAUAAUAUGACGUCUGCCUAUCGCAGCACUAAAUUUAGUACCAGAAUUUGUGCACCCAGUUCCGGUCGGCGCAAAUCCAUAACGAACUUUGUAACAUUAACUUGAUGUAUCUUCCAAAUUUAAAAUUCGAUCUAGUACAUGAUCAACUGUUAAACCUGGUUCUGUUAAAGGAUAAUUCUGUAAUUCGGAGCGAAUAAAAUGUUCAAUACUAUCUAAAAGUUACUUUCAAACUGCUUACAGUAUCGUAAAAUAUUAAACUUUUCUGGAGAACGUUCUGGAGACGAUCACUGAUUGGAAUAUUUCGCACAGAAUUAGCCAUAUUGUGUCCACGAUCUAUCGUCCUCAAAUUUUGUAUUUUAUCUCCAUCUUUUUCAGAUAAAUG